rnacentral:lncRNA from 1 species
CCCAGCGCCCAGGCCUCCUGGCUCUUCCCCGGACCUUUCAGGUGAGAAACUUUCCACUGUUGCCUUAUCUCAGCAAUCCGCCUCUCUUCCUUGCAGCGACCGCAGGUGCACACAGAUCUGAGGCCCUGAUCUGUUCCACUCUCUUUAUGCCAAACAGAGGAGGGACGCGAACCCCAGCAUGAAACGGCGCCCACAACCACAAGGCCCGGUGUGCGCCCUCUGAAACCGUAGGUUUUCCUGGGAAAGGAGCCUUUGAUGGUGGAUGUCUUCAUGGCACAUGUGAGGACCAUCAUUACCAAAUCUCCCUUCAUCUGUUUGGAGUUCCCGGCAUCAGUCCAUGAUUCCUUAUUGGGCAGGGUAAGUGUGCGGAUUCGGCCUAGAGAUUUUUAAAAGACUGAAAAGAAAUGUGAAAAGAGAAGCAAGAUGCACAGAGGAUAGAGUAAGUAGAAGAAACACCUCUACUAUUAAUUUCAGCAGAAGACAAUGGAGAGAAUGGGGAAGAAGCAAUAUGCAAAGAGGUGACAGCUAAUAAUUUUCCAGAACUGUUGGGUCUGUGACUCCUCAGGCUGAAGACGCACAGUGGUUUCCGAACAGAGAAAAUAUAAAUCACUUUAUACCUAGCCACGUUGUAGUGAAACUUCUUGACACCAAAGACAAUGAGAAAAUCCUAAAAGAAACCACAGAAAAAAGAAAAAUUACCUACAAAGAAAUCAUAAGUAAACAGCCUUCUCAUUAACAACAAAAGAGAUCAGAAUAAUAUCUUCAAAGGACUGAGGUAAAAUAAUUAUUAUCCC